UCUCUUAUAGUACAACGGAAAAGUACACAUGGAAGUUGGCUCGUAACCCCAGCCAGCACUUUCCAUGAAAUCCGGGUUCGAAUCCCGGUAAGAGAC